GGGGGUAUAGCUCAGUGGCAGAGCAAUUGGCUGCAGUCCAAUGGGUCCCUGGUUCAAAUCCGGGUGCCCCCU